ACAAGCGCUCGCUGUGGUUCUGGCAGCGAAGUGCGAGACUGGGCUCGCCAGGCGGAAGUGGUUGGAGACUGCGUGUUUUCCUAGAAAGUCCUCGACCUUCGUCGGGGAGAGGAGGGGAGUGAUAAAUUGGAAGGCGGACAAGCGACAAGUGCGGUACUGGAAAGACCCAAACAUACUUGGUUGUGACCUCAGGACUCAAUAAAAUAAACAGCUGGAAAUAAGCAGACUAGUGUAAGAGUGAAUUGAAAAGAAAACCCAAGGUCACAUCUCCCAAGAAGCAGUAAUGUUCCAGCAAUAAGAAAAGGACAGUUUUUUGUCUUUUGCAUGGUGAGCCUUAUAUGAAUUACAUCAAUUUUGUCACCAAUAUCCAUCAUCAGAACAUUUUGAACAAAACCUUUUCCAUCAGCAAAGCAUUUUAGAACCUCAAGCUACACUGUUCCCACCUGCAACUGUCUAAGGUAUUGGAGGUCAAGGACAGUCCAAGGCCAAGUCAAGGACCAUCAGGACACAGAGGAGUAACUUC
rnacentral:lncRNA from 1 species